rnacentral:rRNA from 1 species
CCUACGGGAGGCAGCAGUGGGGAAUAUUGGACAAUGGGCGAAAGCCUGAUCCAGCCAUGCCGCGUGUGUGAAGAAGGUCUUCGGAUUGUAGAGCACUUUAAGUUGGGAGGAAGGGCAGUCCCUAACACGUAAUUGU